CCUGCCACAGAGCGGCGUUCCCGUGCGGCUGCCGGCGUUGCCGCCGCUGUUGGAUUUUAGCAGUGGCCGACCCCCGUCCCCGUAAGGCACAGCUGCUCCUCUCUGGAGAGCCAGACAGUGCUGGAAGAUGCUUCCCAGAAAGCAUCUCAGUAGCUGGAAAGUCAGCUGGGAAACCCAGUUGCCCUCAAACAAGAUACACCUCUGGAAUACAACAACGUGUAUCUUUCAAGCGCCAAGGGAAAUGCACUCUGAUCCUGGUGAGUCAGUUUGGAGCUGAAGAUCAGUUGCUGCCUAGAAAUGGCAGCGCAUGCAAACAACCUGUGGAGAACCUUGUUAAGUGAUGCCCGGAGUGGGAAAAUAAUAUUUUUUAUUAUUUCAAAAUUGACUGACAUUCUGGACUGUACUGGGAGUCCAUACAUUUAAAAAAAAAAAAACAAAACACCUUAGCUAAGCUAAGGAAAAGAUCCUAUCGAUAAGAUCGAGGAAGGCUUUAGAAAAUACAUGCAGGAGAUUAGUGCCCAAUUGCAAAUAACGGUCCCACAGAAACACGGAGAGACACCAUGAAAUAAUUGUCUGACAGUCAUUUCAUUAAUGGUCUGCAUUGCCUGAUGUUUUUGUGUUUCUGAUGAAGCAGCUUCUGGAAGCUGCAGACUAUUUCACAAAAUGCCCCAAAGCUCAUCUACUAGGGCACCAGUGCCAGAUGUCCAAGUGAAAGACAUCUUCUCCCUCCAAGUCCUAGGAGGUAUGGGAGGAUUGCACAAGGCUCAAGGGAGAAACACUGAAUCCAGAACAAUGCAGCAGAUCUGUGAGGCGGCUGAGAUCCCUGAAACGUCUCCAUGUGACUGCAGCCUGAAGGGUUGGGGUUGGUGGGAUGUUUUUUUGCAGACUUAGUCAAUAGGGCUUCUCCACUGAAGUGCAUCAAGUGGUAAGACCCAGCGUAUCCCAGUCCUUUCAAAAUCCUUGGGAGCAGCAAAGCCCAUUAUCAUAUUUUGGUGAAAACCAGAGUAUUUACCGUGCCUGUCUUUUAAGAUGAGGAUUUUCACCCGGGCUUUACCAGCCAGCCCCAUGUAAGUUGUCUCUUGCUGCCCAUCCUACAAAAUGAGCUUGCAUUUUUACUACUUGCCCUUUUAUGUGGAUUAAUAUGAUAUUUCAUGUUUGUUGUUGUUUUGUUUUAAGCAUCUUUGUUCAGUAUAGCCCAAACCGAUGCAUUUCUAUGCCAGAGAACCUCUGGGUUUUGACCACCCUGUAACACUGGCAUCAUCAGUAGGUGCCAGAACACAUCAUGUUUCACAUCUCCAUGCCUGUAGAGUUCAGGCAAACUGAGAAGUGGAGGCUUUCCCAGCAGAGAGAGGGAAUACUAGCCUAGAUUAUGUGUUACCAUUAAUUACCCAACUUGUGCCUCUGUCUGUGGCAAUGCGGAAGAUAGUGGCCCUUUCCAGCCUGGUCCUUUGUGCCACAUGGUGCCCUAGGGAUCUGCAAUCAGUGCUUUGAUUAUUAGGGUAAAAUUGGUCAUAAAGGGGAAAUAGAGUGAAAUAAAAUGAAAGCGCAGCUAUCAGUUUCACUUGAGUUCUGCGUGAUCCAUUUUAAUUUAAAUGGAAAAUGACACAUAACUUAUCUACAAUGGUUUAAAGCCCCAGUCAGAAUGCUGUUGCCAACACCAGACAGUGACAAGUUUUAGCAGCACUAUGAUGGACAUAAAGCUCUUUAGUAUGCACAGAAAACCAAAUAUCAGACGCUCUGCUGAGAAAAACAGCUGGGCCUAGCCAAAAAAGCGUGGAGCCAGGGGCAAGAGGAGCUGCCUAGUGCAACCUCUCACUGUGUGGCUUGGCUCCUUUUUAUCUGUUUCUGAGCAUUUCAAAUGGCAGGAGUAGAAAACACCCAUCACAAGGGGUGCUAUGAGGCAAAGUUGUGCAUGUGAAACAUUUCGACAUCCCCACGAGCCUGCUGCUACAGGGUAACCUCAGGCCAGGGUGAGCUCCUGGUGUCCCUCAUUACGGGGAUUGAGGAGCUCGGCUGGAGCAAGGGACACAUGGCAGCUCCCAAAAGCAAAAUCGCUCAAGCCAGCAGCCCAUCGCACAGUGUUUCUGUGGUCAUGAUGUGUUACAUGUGGAAAAAAAUCCCCCCUUGGAGAAGGUGAGGAAGGAGCAAGCAACACUUUUGCCUAGCAUACUGGAGAUGGAGAAGCCCCAGCACAUGCAGCUGGUGUCACAGGUGUCCCCGUGCCCUGGGACAGCUGGGGUGGCCAUACCUGUGAGCUCCCAGCAGGGCAGGGGGGUGGGCUGGGUAUGGGUGUCAGAGUCAGGUAGGUUGCAUCGCCCCACCGCAGACAGCUCUGGCCAGUGCCUCUUUCCUCAGGAGGAGGAAGCUCGCACGCAGGGCAGGAAGCAGCGAUGGAACAGCCAGCUCAGGAAGGGGACAGGGCCAGGAGUUUGUUUUUAACCUGCUUCUUGUUUAUUUAAGCUGGGAGGAAGGCGAAUAAAAGCAGCCACUGAAAGGGGAUGGUGGUGUCGCAAGCGGUCGGAGGCAGAAAAUGCCUUUCCAAUGUUUUUCACCAGAGCCAAGGUGUUAAAAACUGGUAUCCUGAGCCUCACAUUAAGCUAGCAGCAGGGGCUCAAUGGCACUGCUUUGAAGGCUGGAGGAGGGCAGUGGAGCUGCCUGGUCCACUGCUGUAGGGAUUUUUGUCCUGCUUAUUUUGGGUAGGAUAGGUAAAAGCAACUUGUUCCCCUUUGCACAGAGACACCAGGUUUGCACUUGGGGAUGAGGAAGCCCUUGCUUCUGCUGUCGGCUGCUAGAUGCUGCCCAUGCUAUGGGGCUCACUGCUCCUGCCCUGAGAGGCACUGUCUUGCAGACUUUCUGGUCCCACCAAGGCAUGUAAUGCUGUCCACGUGUAGUUGAUUCUGCAUGUAGAGCAGCACCAGGUGUUCACAUUUCUCCUGCAUCACUGGUGCUCCCUGCUCUGGGCUUCAGCUGAGGCCAUAUUUCUGCUCCAACGAAGCAGGGCUCACUGGUGAGAUGCAUGUCCCAAGUGAAACUGGGUAAGAACAGGUGCUGCUUCCCCCAUCUGCAGACCCAUAGUGCCCCACAGCCCCUAUCCAUUCCCACCAGGUGCCAUGGGAGAUCCUGGCUGUGUGGGACUGGCAGUGGGAUGCUGGAGUGGGGUCAUCCUACAUCCUUGAGUUUCCAACACCUCCUCUUGUUUAUUUUACCUUGACAGGACCAGAAAGGGACCCUUGGUUUUACCAACCUGAGUCCAUGCACUUCAAAACCUUUAAGCCAGUUUUAGGAUGAACUUCUUCAGUGUCCUGUCCCCUUAAGAGUAUGGAUGUGCCCUAAUAUAGUUGUAAUUCUUUUUCCAAGUUUGCUUAGAAAGCAAACGAAGACAUUACAAAAAUCCAGCUGACCAAAAAAACCAAGCUCUGGCCAGCCAUUUCAGGCUAAGCUAAUGCAAUUAUCAUUCUUAUCCAUAUUGUCAUGCAGUUAGUCCCGCUGAGCCUAGUGCUCAACUGUCCUGAUUUUUCAUCAUAGAUUCUCUUUGUUCCUCUUCAAGUAUUGCUCCUGAUUAAAGGCUCUGAUUUGAGAAACUUAAUCUCAGAUUUUAUAGUGACAGUUGAUUUUUCUUUCAGCAAGUUUGUUUGGUAUGGAUAAACUGACAUAUUACAUUGACGUGUUUUUGACACCUUUUUACUUUUUGGUUUCCUUUGUGGAUACUUUUCCUAAUUCUUCUGAAAAUAUCGUAGAGCUCAAGCUCUCAGCAAGGAUGAUAAACCUGCUUGCAGGUGUUUCUAUAUAUGAGCAGAAGUGAAGUGGAAGCAGGAAUCAGGAAAGCAAAUGCCUGAUGCAAUUUGGGUCACACUUCCAAAGGGAAUUAUCAUUCCUCACAUGCUUUCUCACACAGCAGGACACAGGAGUGCAGGGAUUUCUGCCUUGGAUCCAGGCUCACAGUUCUUUUGCUUCCUUGUCUCUGAAGGU